AACAUACUAUGGUCAAGCACACUUCUAACAUCCUUAAACAUCAUUACAUUACAUAUCUAUACUGUCCUUUUACAUUACAUGAUUCUACAAAUUCGUCAUGUCCACAUUCUAGCUAUUACAUACAUAAGACUUCAUUACUCUUGCUGACCUCCUGGUCUACCCUGUACCUGCAAGCCUGGGGAUUAAGGGAGAGGGGUGAGUUACAAGAGC
rnacentral:lncRNA from 1 species